AUUGAACGCUGGCGGCAUGCGUUACACAUGCAAGUCGAACGGCAGCAUGAUCUAGCUUGCUAGAUUGAUGGCGAGUGGCGAACGGGUGAGUAAUACAUCGGAACGUGCCCUGUAGUGGGGGAUAACUAGUCGAAAGAUUAGCUAAUACCGCAUACGACCUGAGGGUGAAAGUGGGGGACCGCAAGGCCUCAUGCUAUAGGAGCGGCCGAUGUCUGAUUAGCUAGUUGGUGAGGUAAAGGCUCACCAAGGCGACGAUCAGUAGCUGGUCUGAGAGGACGAUCAGCCACACUGGGACUGAGACACGGCCCAGACUCCUACGGGAGGCAGCAGUGGGGAAUUUUGGACAAUGGGCGAAAGCCUGAUCCAGCAAUGCCGCGUGUGUGAAGAAGGCCUUCGGGUUGUAAAGCACUUUUGUCCGGAAAGAAAUGGCUCUGGUUAAUACCUGGGGUCGAUGACGGUACCGGAAGAAUAAGGACCGGCUAACUACGUG
rnacentral:rRNA from 1 species